AUAUGUANGGAUGAACUAACUCAACACUCUCCACCUCCUAUUGGUCUCCAGCAUGGAUUCGGCUGUGCUGGCUGGCUGGACAGGUGUCCCCUUCCUUCCUCACCACCCCAUGUGUGUCCCUUCUGAAGCUAUGUACUGGGACAAAGAGGACAACCUCCCUCAUAGAGAAGAACUUUCCAGAA
rnacentral:snRNA from 1 species